GACGAACGCUGGCGGCGUGCUUAACACAUGCAAGUCGAGCGAUGAAAUUUCCUUCGGGAAAUGGAUUAGCGGCGGACGGGUGAGUAACACGUGGGUAACCUGCCUCAUAGAGGGGAAUAGCCUUUCGAAAGGAAGAUUAAUACCGCAUAAGAUUGUAGUACCGCAUGGUACAGCAAUUAAAGGAGCAAUCCGCUAUGAGAUGGACCCGCGUCGCAUAGCUAGUUGGUGAGGUAAACGGCUCACCAAGGCGACGAUGCGUAGCCGACCUGAGAGGGUNACCGGCACAUUGGACUGAGACACGGCCCAGACUCCUACGGAGGCAGCAGUGAGGAAUAUGGUC
rnacentral:rRNA from 1 species